rnacentral:lncRNA from 1 species
ACGGAUUCAGGAAUCUGGGAAUCCACGGAUCCAGGAAUUCACGGAUCCAGGAAUCCAUGGAUCCAGGAAUCCGGGAAUUUGCAGAUCCAUGCAUCCAGGAUUUCAUGAAUGCAGGAAUUCAGUAAUUCAGGAAUCCACGGAUCCAGGAAUUCAGGAAUCUGGGAAUCCACGGAUCCAGGAAUUCAGGAAUCUGGGAAUCCACGGAUCCAGGAAUUCAGGAAUCGACAGAUCUAGGAAUUCAUGGAUCCAGGAAUCCGCGAAUUCACGGAUCCAGGAAUCCAGACAUUCAGGAAUCCAUGGAUCCAGGAUUUCAGGAAUGCAGGAAUUCUGGAAUUCAAUAAUUCAGGAAUCCACAGAUCCAGGAAUUCAGGAAUUCACGGAUCCAGAAAUCCCUGAAUUCCCCAAUUCCGUUUGGAUCCCAAAUCCUGGGAUGCCCCGGAGUUUCUGUCCCCAGCGACAGCUCCAGGUGCCCCCCCCGCCAUGUCCGUCUGUCCAUCUGACACACGUCUGUCCCCGUGCCCCCGGUGCCGCCCCCGUGUCCGUCCGUCUGUCCCCACAUCCCCAGUGCCAGUUCCAGGUGCCACUCCCAUGUCUGUCUGUCUGUCCCCAGUGCCUCCCUUAUGUCUGUCUGUCUGUCCCCAUGUCCCCGGUGCCGCCCCCGUGUCCGUCCGUCUGUCCCCAGUGUCACCCCUGUCUCUCUGUCCCCCCUGUCCCCAGUGCCAGCGCCAAGUGCCACAUCCAUGUCUGUCUGUCUGUCUGUCCCCAGUACCACCCUCGUGUCCGUCUGUCUGUCCCCAUGUCCGCAGUGCCACCCCCAUGUCCGUCUGUCUGUCCCCGUGUCCCCAAUGCCAACUCCCAGCCCUGUGUCCGUCUGUCUGUCCCCAAUGCCACCCUUGUGUCUGUCCGUCCCCAUGUCCCCGGUGCCACCCCAGUGUCCGUCUGUCUGUCCCCACGUCUGCAGUGCCACCCCCAUGUCCGUCUGUCUGUCCGCAGUGUCACCCUCAUGUCUGUCUGUCUGUCCCCACGUUCCCAAUGCCAUCCCCGUGUCCGUCUGUCUGUCCCCAAUGUCACCCCUGUCUGUCUGUCUGUCCCUGUGUCCCCACUGACAGCGCCAAGUGCCGUGUCCAUGUCCGUCCGUCUGUCCCCAUGUCCCCAGUACCACCCUUGUGUCUGUCUGUCUGUCCCCAUGUCCCCAAUGCCAACUCCCAGCCCUGUGUCCGUCUGUCUGUCCCCAGUGCCAUCCCCGUGUCCGUCCAUCUGUCCUCACGUCCCCAAAGCCACCCCCAUGUCUGUCUGUCUGUCCCCAAUGCCACCCUCAUGUCUGUCUGUCCCCAGUCCCCAGUGCCACCCCCAUGUCCGUC